CAUGUGAUGUAAGGUCAUUCGCGUGAAAGUAUCAGCGAGGAAAAAAUCGAAUUUUUGUGUUUUGUGUGCUAGCAUAAAAUUAAAACCGAACCGAAUGACAACAAAAAGAAGAACGAGAAGCGCACGAAAAGUUUACCUUCAAACGAAAAUAAAUGCAAAAUGAGAAUUUUUUUAACAUUUUAUUUGCGAAAAUAGCUUAAUGAAUUAAGAACGAAAUAGAAAAGCUGGAAGUGGAAGAGCCAAAGAAAGGAAAAAGCUGGUCUAAAUAUUAAAUAGGAAAUUCGCAUUCAAGCCAAGCACCAAAAGGAAGAUCCAAAACAAACCAACCAACAACAACAUCAACUGCAUCAACUAAUAUCAAAUUAAACAACUGAGCCUAAUAACGUAUACAUUUAAAGAUCUAUUUAUAAAUAAUUAUUUACCAUAAUGAUUUAGUAAGUUAAGCUUAAAGUACAAAAAAAGAAAAGUAAAGAAAAAGAAACACCACAACCUACCACAACCAACCAACACAAAUAAUUAAUCAAUCAUUAAACGGAGUAAACUCGCAAAUCUAAAAUAAAUGCAAAUGACAAGGAAAUAACGAAAACGACAGCAACAACAAGUCACCAACAACCAUAACAACACACAUCGGCAGCAUAAUUAAUAACAACCAGCAACAACAACGGAUCAAUACCAAAGAUGGAGGCAAAAUUCUUGGCUAGCGCUCUUUCAUUCCUCUCGAUAUUUUUAGCGAUUUCUGGUCAAUCACUUGCCAACGAGCAGGCGGCCAUCUACUAUGGCGACCACGAAGUGAGCGUGGGCAAGGACUUCUCCAUCACCUGCAUUAUCCCGGUCACGGAGCAGAUCCAUUGGCUCAAGAACGGGGAGCCGAUCACAAGGCACAACCUGCGACACGGGCGCGAUGAUCAUGCCUACGCCUUGUCGGAGACUACAUUCGAUGAUGAAAACCCCAAGAUCGAGGCCCACCUGAGCGUUAAGCACGCCCUUAAGGUGCACGAGGGUAUCUACCAGUGCAACCGACACCACAGCAGCUUCAUGCUGCGAGUGCUGGAUUCCAAGGGAGAAGGAGCGGGCAACCCCACCGAGUCCGGCUAUCAAACCAUUGAUGAGCUGACGUCCAACUCGGCGGAUGUGUUCUCAACAGUGUGGGGGAAGCAGCAGGAGCAGCAGCAGCAGCAACAGUUGUCCCACCAGCCGCACAAACAGCACAAGUCGCAUUUGAGCUAUGGAAACCUCAGCCUCUCCGGCCCUCACUCCUGGAAUCCCUCGGCGGUUGGAGGCGGCAUCCAUCGCGUUUACUCGGCCACACCGCCCGACUUUCCACCACCGCGCCUUAAUCCGCAGGAGCACACGGUGGCGCCGCCGGAGCCACCCACCAUACUGUACAAUCAGACGUAUUCCACUGCCAGUGCCACUGCCACGGAGGCCAGCCUGUUCCUAACGACGGCGCACCACCAUGCCCACCACCAGCAGCAGUUGCAGCAGCAGGCGCAGCACACGCUGAACGCCUUCCAGCUGCAGCCGCCGCCGCGACCCAAUCCUGGCCAGAAUGAGCGGCACAGGACCCAUUCGCCGCACUAUGAGCCGCCUGUGGUGGGCUCUGGAUCGGAAGAGGACGCAAGAAGAGGAGGAGGAGGAGAGCACACCACAAUUUCGGCAUCCUCCAGCACACAGGGCGUAAUGGGUGGAUAUGAUGGUGCAGGUGCGGGAGGUCCUGCGGGUGCCACUGCCCCAAUGAUGGGUGCUGGUGGCCAUAUGCUGAUGGGUGGCCAUGGGCAUCAGGUGCAUCAAGUGCAUCUACAGCACCAGACGCUCUUGCCCGUCAAGAUGGAUAAGCUGGUGCCAAACUAUGAUAAUAUCGAGCAUAAAAUGAAAUUUUACGACAUCAAAACGCCGCUGGUUCUCAGCUGCAACGUGAAAGACGAAACCACGAAGGCCGUACUCAUAUGGAAAAAGAACAACACCUCGGUGACGGAGGUGCCUUCGCUAAGAGGUCGCUUUAAGAUAAUCGCCGACGAGAAGAAAUUCAUUAUCGAUAAAACGGAGGCGAACGACCAUGGAAAUUACACUUGCGAGAUCGACGGCGAGUCCCAGAGAAUCGAAGUGAUUGCCCGCGUUGUUGUAAGAGUGCCUUCAAAUACAGCUGUUGUGGAGGGUGAGAAGAUGUCGGUGACCUGCACCGUUGUGGGAACCGAUCCACAACUGUCUUGGACCUUUGGCAAUGUAACGCUGACGAACGCCACAGAUCGCUUCGUCCUCAAGCAGGAGAACGGCGUGCAAAACGCCAUUCUGACACUGGAUAAUGUGACAUUGGAGGACAGAGGCGAGUACAAAUGCAUUGGACGCAAUGCGGCCAAUGACUAUGGAGUAAACACCACCGCUCCUGCCAGCGACUUCACAACUGUGCGUGUUAAGGGCAAAUUUGCCGCCUUGUGGCCUUUCCUGGGCAUCUGUGCUGAGGUGCUGAUUCUGUGCAUCAUCAUUCUCAUCUACGAGAAGAGACGCAACAAGAGCGAACUGGAGGAGAGUGAUACUGAUCCCCAAGAACAUUGAUCAAGUUCGCUCUCUAGUUAAAACUAAAUUGAAUGAGAAAUCCUAAAAGAAAAACAGAAAAUAUGUGGGAGAACCUGCCGCUUGAUUCGAUCGAUUGAUUGGUUGACUGUUUUCUGCAAUCAUCAUUAAAAACCAAAAACUAAAAACCAAAAUCCACCACCAAAAACGAAAAACGAACCCAAAAAAAAACCUCGCCCUCGAUCAAUUCUCCAUGAACCCGCCUUGACUAACCAAAUCUGAUCCAAAUGUGCCCAGCGUCAACUAACAUCAACAACUACAACAACUCCAAAAACUACAAUCACUGCAAUAAUUUACCAAAAAAGUAAUGAUAACUACUAACAAUCUGAACAGCAAUAGCAACAUCUACGGCAUCUGCAACAGCAACAACCAAAAGAAAAAGAAAAGGAGAAAUUAUGAUUAAAAUUCCUAAGCAAAAGAAAGAACACACCGUAAAAAGAAUAACAAAUAAAUCCAUUUAAAUAUGAGCAAAAAACAAGUAACAGAAAGUAAAAAGCAUUAAAACAUUACAUAAACUACAUAAAACUAGCGAAAUGAGGAAGUAAUGAAACCGAAAUAAAGAAAACGGUCACAAGAGAAAAAGUUGUGUAUCCACACCCCAUCCCAUUUCCCCCCUCCCAUCAAAACUGCAAACUUUGUUUAGCAAAAUUGUAUUUUAUUAAUGAAAUAUAAAAGAAAGCAAACAAUUAAUAUUAAACAAGAGGAAACCGAAGUAAAUCUAAAAUUAUAUUAAAAUGGAAAGUGAUAGCAGUUAAACGAACACUAAUAAGAGAAUAUGGAUAAACGAUGGCAGUAUAAAGGAACUUUAGCAAUUAACCAUAAAGUGAAGCGUUAUCUCCAAAGCAAAGCAAAAAUGUCGCACAUGCCACUCCCUCUCCCACGCACCCUUCACCUGAAAACAACAGAGUAAUAUUGUACAUAACCUAAAAGUUGAGAAAAUCUGAAGAAGGCGAUUUUCUUCUGUCUCUGCCUGACUCACGUGAAGCAAGUAGGCAAGGCUCUGUCUCUCUCUUUCCUAGCAAGAGGACUCUUUAUACAACUAUGAUUUUUUAGGUAGAGAUAUUUUGAGGUUAGUUUUUAGUUCGAGACGGAACUCAAAAAAGAAAGCAGAGAAAGCGAAGCGGAAGCAGCAGCAUCACAUUUGAGAGGAAGAGGAGAACACGAUGGAACAUGAUGAAAGAGAUUGGAAGACGACUUUGAAAGAACUCUGUUUAUUAAACUUAGUUAAAGCGGUGUAUUGGAAAGCUGAAGAUGAACUUUUUAAACAAUUAAGUAGCGCGUUAUGAGUAUAUUUUUAAAGGAUUAAUACCACAACUAGUAGCUGAUGACGGAGAGAUAGACGAAGCAGAAGCGUUGGAAGCGAGAACAUUGUAUAUUGCAUAAUUUUAGGAGGAAAGGAUGGAAGUGAAUCAGAUGCGUACUGCCAAAACUUGUAAAGUUCAGUACUAUUUGCUUAGCCUCAUUUUUGGUAAACAAAAACUAAAAACCAAAAUCAAAACACACUAAGAACUAAAAUAUAAAAGAAAUCAUAAGCUCUGUUAAUUCAUUUCUGUUGUUGUUAAUUUCGGUUGUUUAUGUAUAAUGUAUGUGUAUAAAAAUCGAAUUGCGAUGAACUAAGAACUAAAGCGGUCUUCAAUUCACAUCUUAACUCGUAAUCAGACUAAAAUCGUAUAUAUAUAUUAAUAUAUGUAUAAAUUUGUACGACUUUUACUUUAGUUGAUGUUUUUAUUAUCGUGAACUUUUCGUUGUUGAUUUCUUCGCCGCCACCAAAGCUUUAAAUAUUUACAUAGUAAACUGUGUUCUCAGCAAAACGAUGAAGUUAAUAAAAUAAAAUUAUGUUAAAUAACACAAGACGAGACGAUUUGUAUAGUAAACUAAAUGAGCAUAAUAAACAGAACCCUUGGUAAAAACCAACAAAGAAAUGUUCUUGUUAUAUAUAUAAAUAAAGAAUAUAUAUAUAAAAUUGCUAUAUAUAUAGAUCACGUGUGUGUGUGUGCAUGUUCGAUUACAUAGUUAUAUACAUAUGCGAUGAAUUACAAAAAUAGAGGAAGAAGGGAGAGGUAAAUAAUAGCCUAGAGAGGAGACUUUUUGGAAACCGUCGAUAAAUUCUCGCGCAUAAGUUUUUUAUUCAUGUACAAUUGUUGUACAGUUUUUGUGGCUUAUUUGUGUAUAACAACUAUUAACGACAACAACUACUACUUAUAUUACGAUUGAUCUAUUAUGCAUAACUGUACAUUUAACAGACCCUUCUCCCCCUUCAUUGUAUCUGCAAAAGCCUUAUUUUCCAUUGCUGGGCUUGGUUCCAUCCGACCGAAUCCCCAUCGACUUUCUCUCUUUCGACCAAAACCCCUUACGAAACAGACAUCCUUGAACCCCUUUGAACUGAAAAGUAAUCCCAACAAGAAGAAGAACAGCUACGAUACCUAUUUACUGCUAUAUUGUAUAACGUAAUGUUACCCACAACAACACGAACAACUAAACCAUACACACGUAACUAACUUUGUAGCAAACCAAACCAAAAUCAACUUCGGAACACUCGACAACUAUGCUAUAUAUAUACAACAUACUAACGAAAUGGAUGCAACAAACGGAAACUAUACAUACUUAUAUAAUAUACACUUAUAUACAAACAACCACAUACGCAGUAUUGUAUGUCUUUUUGUACAGAAAACAAACGACAAACUAAGCCUGACAACAAACAAAUCGUGUAUCCUAACUAAACUCCUCAGAUAGAACAUAUGACUCCUUCGCAGCACCCCCAUUCUAUUUUUUCACCUCACCCUCUCUCAUUUACCGAUCGCCGACCGAUCCAUUGUUUGCCCAUCAAUUGUUGCUAACUACCGAUCAAUAUAAUCAGCAAACGCAGAUUUUCUUGGCACACACUUUUGACUCUCACGCGUUAGUCGCUUCAUGAGUAGAGCAGCUAAAUGUGAACAUCAGACGAAGCUCUAGUUAAGUUACAAGAAGGAACCUUAUAUAUAUUAUAUAUAUAACAUAUAAAUAAAUAAUAUUAAUAAUUACACGUACUUUUAAUUAGUCGCAUAAGCCAAAUGUCGAGAGGGAAAAUCGCAAGCCGAAUCGAAAGCUAAGACUAAACUUAAGCCAGAAAAGCGGUUCACAUCGGUUCUCCCGAAGGGCAACCAAAUUAGUUAAAGCUGAAACCGACGAGUUAGGUUCAAAAUUCAGAAAGGUCCUUGGUUUUUUGUUUAUUUACGGAGUGAGCAUACAAGCUAUGAGGCUUUGAAAUUUAAAUCACAACUGUCUCUCUUGGACUUUUCAUUCUGUGUGUUUCGGUGCUGCAAAACCCAAGAUGGCAGAGAGAAAAGAAGGAGGAAUGCCCCCAAUGAAAAACUAUACACUAUGGAAGCAACGAUUUCCAGAAACACUUGUUAUGGCAUUAUCAAAAACGUUUGCAGAACCGAAACACAUUGCAUGCGAAAUCAGAGCCAAAUUUAUGUUUGUUUAGAACGAUUCUUUUUGGCGGAUUCACUGGCAAGUCACACAUUUUGUAUGAAUUCCAGCUCUGGGAAGGAGCUAGCUUCCGAUAGAGAAGGAAAUGAGAAUACGUAGGAGGAGCAUUCAGCCGGCCAGGCUGAACUUUCGGCGAAUCGAACCCGUUAAAACCUAACUUUGUUUUCCGCAGGCGCCCAGAGUAGUGUAAAAAACCUAUAGGAGACACUGUAGGAAAACAAAUAAUUGCCUUAGGGUUUCAGUAGAAAUAAAACAAAAUAUUAAGAAAUAAUUUAUCUUUUAAAUCAUUUCCCUUAUCGGCGACUUUGAGCAAAACGUGUGACUUGGCCUUAAAGGGGGUGUGACAUCAGCACUCCAUAAACCAGUUAGAACUACGGGUAAACACGGUUCGCCAUAAAAACCAUGAACCGAAAGCAGUAAAAUAUUCUGUAAUCCAAGCUAGUAACCGAAUGUCACACAAAACACACAUGGGCCGGCGAAAGCAAAUGGAAUCCUUCCUUCCGGGAUGAGCUAGAUAUAGGAUAGCUAGCCACAUAAGCCUUUUGGGGAGUUAGAAGAGAAGAAGAAAUCAAUUAAGUGCCAGCCCCGCCUCUCCCCUCCUCAGACUUCGCCGUAUAAUAACCAAAUAGAACUCGAUAAUAGGUCCCGGGGAAGGAUUCCAGUUGGUUCCGGGGGCCCUUGCGAAAAGUCUUCAACUAGAGCGAACACAAAACUGUUUCAGAAUACUAAUCGAUAAAAUAUGAUUUUUAGCAAUUUAUAUAAAUUACAUAUAUACAUACAAAUACAUAGAUAAUGAAUUAUGGAAACCGAAGCUAAAACUAGACCUAAUCCUAAAUCUAGACCGAAGAGAAAUCACAAACAAGUCAACAGGGCACAGCGCUUCUUAACUAUAUUAAUUUCGACAAGCAGAACUUUUUCUAAACCUAAACCAAACCAAGAAAAUGUAAAACCAACGCUAAUCUUAAAACUAUAACUAACUUUUUAAACUAAUAUUGAAAAUGAACCCAACAAAGUGUUCAUUAAACUAAAACCAAAGGAAUACAUAUAUGUACGAACAUGUAUAUGUGUGUACUUAACGUUAUACAUUAAAGAAACACAACAUUUUGUAUGGCUAUAGCAACAAAAAAUUCAAGAAAGCCCAAAAAAAUUAUAUAAAAAACAGAAAACAUAGGCAGAAGAUGGUGAAAAGAACCCAACAAUUUAGCUAAGUAAUUUAAUGUAAAGAGUUUAUCGAAUAAAUUGAGAAACAAAGCAAAGGAAAACUUUAAUGAAACUUUCAUCAGAUUUCUAACGAACUUUACGAAUUUCCAAUAAGAAGAAAACUGCGCUCUUUACGCCUAUCUACCGAACAUCUCUUUACAUAGACAUUAUAUGAUAUAAAUAUAAUUAUAAUGGAGGAAAAAGUGGAGGGAAACCGAAGCCGAAUACUUGCAUAAGCAUACACUUGUUUUUAGCACUAAAUGAAAUCUCUUGCGUUACUUUUGUUUAACAAAUACUAAUUAAACCAGAUAAAUUAAUAUACAUACAAAACAUACUAUAAACAUACAUACUAUAUAUACAUACAUUACAUAUAUAUAAAUAGAGUUUUUUAGAUCGAAAACCCGAAGAAGAAACCCAAAUCCAAUUCCAAAUCCAAAUCCAAAUCCAGUACCCGGAAUCUGAACACGCAAAUCUCGUCUCAUCUCACGGAUGUGCUACACUAAAUUAGUAACUAAACUAAACUAAAACUAAACUAUUGUUAAACCGUAAACCACACGCAUACAUACACAAACACAUAAACAUUAACUAAAUAUUACACGAAGGACAUCAACCAAGUUAAACGUUUAAGCAAGUUUAAGCCAGAUCAGAGAGAAGAGUUUGCAGCCGCUGGCAGUUAGAUCUUGAAAAUCCCCGAAAAAGGCAGUUAGUAAAUGAAAUGAAAGCGAGCCGAACGCGACCGUUAGUGCAGUAUAAUAAACAACAAAUUGUAUUAUAUCUAAGCCCAUGAAAUUAAAACAAAAGUUAAACAUAAUGAGAACACGACAAAAAUGUUAAUUACAAGCGCUAAACAAGUAAAUAGCUAAACCAAACCAAACAAGAAAAACCAAGGCGGCGUGGCGGCUAUUUAUUAAAAGUGAUUUAUAGGGCAGAGUUGAAAACCAACUUUCAGCUAAUAUAGAGUAAUACAAAAAUAAAGACCGAAAAACCAAAAAAAAAUAUUUUAAAGCAAGCGCUUGAAUUGUACAUUUUUACAAGGCAACUGUACAUUAAGCGCCCACGGCAUUAAGUAAAAAAUAAAAACCCAAAACCAAAAGAGUUGACAAGCACAUAAAACAAAACAAAAAAUAAAUAAAAUCCAAAAAAAUAUACGAGACAGCAAUGGAGUGUGCGGCUGCUGCCCGACACACAAGAAGUUGCCUAGCCAGAACGGAAAUGAGUUUAUUAAAUAUAUACAUUUAAAAAUUCAUAAACAAAAAUCAUGAGGAAGGAAAACCCAAAAAUUCGUUGCAUAAUAUUUAAAACGAAGGUAGUAUUAAACUCGAUUGCCUAAUUCUAAUAUUAAAACCGAAAGAAACCAAAAAACUAUAAAAACAUUAACAUUAACAGUAAUAAUAAUAAUAAUGAAAACAAGAACAACAAAAAA